UACGGGAGGCAGCAGUGGGGAAUAUUGCACAAUGGGCGCAAGCCUGAUGCAGCCAUGCCGCGUGUAUGAAGAAGGCCUUCGGGUUGUAAAGUACUUUCAGUCGUGAGGAAGGUGUUAAGGUUAAUAACCUUAGCAAUUGACGUUAGCGACAGAAGAAGCACCGGCUAACUCCGUGCCAGCAGCCGCGGUAAUACGGAGGGUGCGAGCGUUAAUCGGAAUUACUGGGCGUAAAGGGCACGCAGGCGGUUAAUUAAGUUGGAUGUGAAAUCCCCGGGCUUAACCUGGGAAUGGCAUUCAAGCUGGUUAGCUAGAGUCUUGUAGAGGGGGUAGAAUUCCAUGUGUAGCGGUGAAAUGCGUAGAGAUGUGGAGGAAUACCGGUAGCGAAGGCGGCCCCUGGACAAAGACUGACGCUCAUGUGCGAAAGCGUGGGGAGCAAACAGGGAUUAGAUACC
rnacentral:rRNA from 1 species